rnacentral:rRNA from 1 species
CCUACGGGUGGCAGCAGUGAGGAAUAUUGGUCAAUGGGCGCGAGCCUGAACCAGCCAAGUCGCGUGAGGGAUGAAGGUUCUAUGGAUCGUAAACCUCUUUUAUAAGGGAAUAAAGUGUGGGACGUGUCCUAUUUUGUAUGUACCUUAUGAAUAAGGAUCGGCUAACUCCGUGCCAGCAGCCGCGGUAAUACGGAGGAUCCGAGCGUUAUCCGGAUUUAUUGGGUUUAAAGGGUGCGUAGGCGGCCUUUUAAGUCAGCGGUGAAAGUUUGUGGCUCAACCAUAGAAUUGCCGUUGAAACUGGGGGUCUUGAGUAUAGUUGAGGCAGGCGGAAUGCGUGGUGUAGCGGUGAAAUGCUUAGAUAUCACGCAGAACCCCGAUUGCGAAGGCAGCUUGCUAAGCCAUGACUGACGCUGAGGCACGAAAGCGUGGGUAUCAAACAGGAUUAGAUACCCCUGUAGUC